GAUGAACGCUAGCGACACGGUUUAACACAUGCAAGUCGAGGGGCAGCACGGUGUAGCGAUACACUGGUGGCGACCGGCGCACGGGUGAGUAACACGUGUGCAACCAACCCCGUACCGGGAGAUAACCCGCGGAAACGUGGACUAACAUCCCAUGACGCUCUAGAGCCGCAUGGCUCUAGAUUUAAAAUUCCGGUGGUACGGGACGGGCACGCGCGACAUUAGGUAGUUGGCGGGGUAAGGGCCCACCAAGCCGACGAUGUCUAGGGGUUCUGAGAGGAAGGUCCCCCACACUGGAACUGAGACACGGUCCAGACUCCUACGGGAGGCAGCAGUGAGGAAUAUUGGUCAAUGGGCGAGAGCCUGAACCAGCCAAGUCGCGUGAGGGACGAAUGGUCUAUGGCCUGUAAACCUCUUUUGCCAGGGAAGAAUAAAAGGUACGUGUACCUUCUUGCCAGUACCUGACGAAUAAGCAUCGGCUAACUCCGUGCCAGCAGCCGCGGUAAUACGGGGGAUGCGAGCGUUAUCCGGAUUUAUUGGGUUUAAAGGGAGCGUAGACGGGUUUUUAAGUCAGCUGUGAAAGUUUGGGGCUCAACCUUAAAAUUGCAGUUGAAACUGGAGACCUUGAGUACGGUUGAGGCAGGCGGAAUUCGUGGUGUAGCGGUGAAAUGCUUAGAUAUCACGAAGAACCCCGAUUGCGAAGGCAGCCUGCUAAGCCGCCACUGACGUUGAGGCUCGAAAGUGCGGGUAUCAAACAGG
rnacentral:rRNA from 1 species